rnacentral:rRNA from 1 species
GUGGAUUAGAUACCCGGGUAGUCCACGCUGUAAACGAUGACGACUAGGUGUGGGGUGGUUCAGUCCAUUCCGUGCCGCAGCUAACGCAUUAAGUCGUCCGCCUGGGGAGUACGGCCGCAAGGUUGAAACUCAAAGGAAUUGACGGGGGCCCGCACAAGCGGUGGAGCAUGUGGUUCAAUUCGAUGCAGAGCGAAGAACCUUACCUGGGCUUGACAUGUGGGAAGUAGAAACCCGAAAGGGGGACGACCUGUUGAGUCAGGAGCCUACACAGGUGGUGCACGGCUGUCGACAGCU